CUGGAGGACCGAACCGACUAAUGUUGAAAAAUUAGCGGAUGACUUGUGGCUGGGGGUGAAAGGCCAAUCAAACCGGGAGAUAGCUGGUUCUCCCCGAAAGCUAUUUAGGUAGCGCCUCGUGAAUUCAUCUCCGGGGGUAGAGCACUGUUUCGGCAAGGGGGUCAUCCCGACUUACCAACCCGAUGCAAACUGCGAAUACCGGAGAAUGUUAUCACGGGAGACACACGGCGGGUGCUAACGUCCGUCGUGAAGAGGGAAACAACCCAGACCGCCAGCUAAGGUCCCAAAGUCAUGGUUAAGUGGGAAACGAUGUGGGAAGGCCCAGACAGCCAGGAUGUUGGCUUAGAAGCAGCCAUCAUUUAAAGAAAGCGUAAUAGCUCACUGGUCGAGUCGGCCUGCGCGGAAGAUGUAACGGGGCUAAACCAUGCACCGAAGCUGCGGCAGCGACGCUGAUGCGUUGUUGGGUAGGGGAGCGUUCUGUAAGCCUGUGAAGGUGUGCUGUGAGGCAUGCUGGAGGUAUCAGAAGUGCGAAUGCUGACAUAAGUAACGAUAAAGCGGGUGAAAAGCCCGCUCGCCGGAAGACCAAGGGUUCCUGUCCAACGUUAAUCGGGGCAGGGUGAGUCGACCCCUAAGGCGAGGCCGAAAGGCGUAGUCGAUGGGAAACAGGUUAAUAUUCCUGUACUUGGUGUUACUGCGAAGGGGGGACGGAGAAGGCUAUGUUGGCCGGGCGACGGUUGUCCCGGUUUAAGCGUGUAGGCUGGUUUUCCAGGCAAAUCCGGAAAAUCAAGGCUGAGGCGUGAUGACGAGGCACUACGGUGCUGAAGCAACAAAUGCCCUGCUUCCAGGAAAAGCCUCUAAGCAUCAGGUAACAUCAAAUCGUACCCCAAACCGACACAGGUGGUCAGGUAGAGAAUACCAAGGCGCUUGAGAGAACUCGGGUGAAGGAACUAGGCAAAAUGGUGCCGUAACUUCGGGAGAAGG
rnacentral:rRNA from 1 species